AGCCUCUCUGCCCUUUUGGGCAGGGGUAAGGCUUGUCUACAUAUUACCCUCCCCAGACCCCACCUGGUGGGAAUAUACUGGGUAGUUGUUGUAGUUGUUGUUUUUGAUUAUACCAAUGACGACUAAUUUGAGAUGGUAGGCUUUCUUUUUUCUUGUUUAAAGUUCUUCAAUCCCCUUGUAUGCGUGUGUACGGAUAAGUGUGAAAUUCACCGAACUUCUAGUUUUGUAGUGAUCCCUAAUAUGCCGCAAAAGAGAAAUGAUUUAGUAUAGGAAUGAAGAGGACCUAAAUGUUGGGAUUUUGCUUAAAAAUGAGAAUGGUCAUUGUCCCAUAUUGGAAAAAUGUUGAAUAGUAGCUUGGAGGCUUGCCUAUAUAAGGAGGCUUAAGUUAUGUUUUCAAAUGUACCAAACCAANN
rnacentral:lncRNA from 1 species